AGUGGCGUACGGGUGCGUAACGCGUAUGCACCUACCUUCAUCAGGGGGAUAGCCCGAAGAAAUUCGGAUUAACACCGCAUAAAAUAGCAUUAUCAAAUAUUUAUAGGAUGGAGAUGGGCAUGCGUGUCAUUAGCUAGUUGGUAAGGUAACGGCUUACCAAGGCGACGAUGACUAGGGGAUCUGAGAGGAUGACCCCCCACACUGGUACUGAGACACGGACCAGACUCCUACGGGAGGCAGCAGUAAGGAAUAUUGGUCAAUGGAGGCAACUCUGAACCAGCCAUGCCGCGUGCAGGAAGACUGCCUAUGGGUUGUAAACUGCUUUUAUACGGGAAUAAACCUUGGUUCGUGAACCAAGCUGAAUGUACCGUAAGAAUAAGGAUCGGCUAACUCCGUGCCAGCAGCCGCGGUAAUACGGAGGAUCCAAGCGUUAUCCGGAUUUAUUGGGUUUAAAGGGAGCGUAGGCGGCCUAUUAAGUCAGGGGUGAAAGACGGCAGCUUAACUGUCGCAGUGCCUUUGAUACUGAUAGGCUUGAAUGUAGUUGAGGUGGGCGGAAUGUGACAAGUAGCGGUGAAAUGCAUAGAUAUGUCACAGAGCACCGAUUGCGAAGGCAGCUCACUAAGCUAUGAUGACGCUGAGCUCGAAGCGGGGGGAUCAACCAGGAAUAGAUACCCUGGUAGUCCCCGCCUA
rnacentral:rRNA from 1 species